rnacentral:rRNA from 1 species
GACGAACCGAGCGAACGUUGUUCGGAAUCACUGGGCUUAAAGGGCGCGUAGGCGGGCUGUCAAGUCUGGGGUGAAAUCCCGCGGCUUAACCGUGGAACUGCCUCAGAUACUGAUGGCCUCGAGGGAGAUAGGGGCGAGCGGAACUAAUGGUGGAGCGGUGAAAUGCGUUGAUAUCAUUAGGAACUCCGGUGGCGAAGGCGGCUCGCUGGGUCUCUUCUGACGCUGAUGCGCGAAAGCGUGGGGAGCAAACAGG